rnacentral:rRNA from 1 species
AUGGGUAUUAACUAUACAGAUUGUAUAUACCACGACGGAUGGUUCUAUGCAGUUACUCAUGGAGGCGCAAUCGAUGCAUACAAUUUAAAUGGACCGUCUAUCAUCCACAAAAGAUUUUUACGCAGAAUAUUUCGGACGGUUUCAAAAUGUCACAUUGUUCAGGCAGAAUGGGGAGAUGUCCUCCAAAUCAUUAGGAAGGAGAUUCUCGAUCCUGAACGACCGGACAGUCAUACGUGGAUCCCUGAAAUCAAAGUGUACAAGGUUGAUUUUGAUAAGGAGAAGUGUGUCAGCAUAACAGAUAUAGGGGACUAUGUGUUGUUCAUUGGGAGCAGCACAACGUCUUGUUUAAGCAUGAAGGACUAUCCAGACUUGAUGCCAAACCAUGUCUAUUUCACUGAUGAUGACGACGGAGCACACAUACUCGAGAAAGACUACCCUCCCAAACUUGGGAUUUACAACAUUAAAAAUAAUACCACGGUGAAUGUGGUUCGUCCUGAACUUUGGAUGAAUUGGUUGCCCCCCAUAUGGUUGACGCCGAGUCUUGAGAAAACGGGUAUGGUUCUACUUGUCCCUUUAUCUACUAUGGAAAAUGCUGCUUGUUGUAUAUCCCAAUCUCUGAGCAGCAUUUAUUUACGUGUUAUAUUUCCUACUGCUGUUAAAAGUUUUGCCAUGUAA